CCUACGGGCGGCAGCAGUGGGGAAUAUUGCACAAUGGGGGAAACCCUGAUGCAGCGACGCCGCGUGAGUGAAGAAGUAUUUCGGUACGUAAAGCUCUAUCAGCAGGGAAGAAAAUGACGGUACCUGACUAAUAAUCCCCGGCUAACUACGUUCCAGCAGCCGCGGUAAUACGUAGGGGGCAAGCGUUAUCCGGAUUUACUGGGUGUAAAGGGAGCGUAGACGGCAGCGCAAGUCUGGAGUGAAAUCCCAUGGCUUAACCAUGGAACUGCUUUGGAAACUGUGCAGCUAGAGUGCAGGAGAGGUAAGCGGAAUUCCUAGUGUAGCGGUGAAAUGCGUAGAUAUUAGGAGGAACACCAGUGGCGAAGGCGGCUUACUGGACUGUAACUGACGUUGAGGCUCGAAAGCGUGGGGAGCAAACAGGAUUAGAUACCCGUGUAGUC
rnacentral:rRNA from 1 species